CGUCUGUGAAAAACCUAAUGCAUGUAAUCUAGCAAACGGAAGACGGUCGCCAUAGCGACGACCGACUAAUUAUCGAUCGAAAACUGAGGUGGCCGGAAGAAUGGAGCGGUGCGAAACAAAGGAACCCGCGGAAACCUCGCGCCCACCGAAGGGCCCCACCCGCGCCUUCCAGCUGCGCUUCGCGGCGGCCCGGGAGCCCGGCAGGUCGCAGCUUACCGCGCUACGCCCGCUUCGAAUGCCGCCACUAGUAACGGGCAAGGUGGGCGCGAAACAAGUGGAGACGCCGCGGGCCUUCCAGGACCACGCCUCGCAGCGGUUACAUCGAGUGUCGGACAAGGCUCAUUUGCUGCCUCUCACCUCGCACCAGUAGGUUUAAAUAGGACUACCCGUAUUGUAUGGUUAUUAUUUUAAAUAAGUUUUUUGUUAUAUUUGUUUAUGCAGCCAAAAAUAGUGACGAUUAUAAUGUACAGCUAAAAAUAGGUUAUUUUCAGAUACGGAUUAUGGAGCGAGACAGGUGGACGUUGGCGUGAAUCACCAUGGUUGCACCAUCACAUUGUUGAUUCAUUAUGGCUCAAAACUCAACUGAGAGUGAUAGUCAGAGAUGAGAGUUAUAAAAGAUAAUACGCGUAAGCGGCUUGCCACAUUAGCCAUAUGGUCCAGAAAGUCAAACACCUUAAAAUAGCAAUAUUAGGAGAUUAUAUUAUUUGCAGUUUUCUAGGUUUUGCCUUACUAUAUAAAGAUAUUGUCUAUGGUCUAUGGUUGAAUAUCCUCUCGGGAAAUGGGUGGUUCCAACUAAUAUUAGUUUUAAGUUCUUUAAUGGCUUUCAUGAUGCCGCCCAUUUUUAUAUGUAUUGUUCAAAUGUGUCAUACUAAUAAUAUUCCUAAUACAAGAAAAUAUAGAAAUAAUGAUAGGAACUGAUAAUACAAACUGGAUUAAAAGAAGUAGAUAAAAACUUACAACUUUCAGGCUCAACAUGUAGAUCAAAUGUUAAAAUCAAAUGGCCUUUUGGUAUGAUGAUUAGAUUAGAUAGUUUUGGCUCAAACAUUGUUCCCUUAAGGUAAAUUAUCUUGAAAUUAAAUACAAUAGAAAUCCUUUUUUUAUGAACUUGACAAAACUAUUGAUGUGUGCUUUACACAAAACCACUUGGCUUUCUUACACGCAAACAUACAGAUAAAUUUUGAACUGUUCAUAUAUAACUCACCAGUUCUUGAGGCUUCCCGGGAUGCACCAAGGUCAGCAUCUACAGUCAUCUCCUCCACAGUGCCCACUCCCACCCCAGCUUCUUGCCCAGCUGACCAUCCUGCCAAUAUAUUAUAUAUAUAAAUAAAAAUGUUACAAAAACGGAAAA